CGGCGGACGGGUGAGUAACGCGUGGGUAACCUGCCUUAUACAGGGGGAUAACAGUUAGAAAUGACUGCUAAUACCGCAUAAGCGCACGGGAACGCAUGUUUCUGUGUGAAAAACUGAGGUAGUAUAAGAUGGACCCGCGUCUGAUUAGCUAGUUGGUGGGGUAACGGCCUACCAAGGCGACGAUCAGUAGCCGGCCUGAGAGGGUGACCGGCCACAUUGGGACUGAGACACGGCCCAAACUCCUACGGGAGGCAGCAG
rnacentral:rRNA from 1 species